rnacentral:rRNA from 1 species
ACUACGGGUGGCAGCAGUGGGGAAUAUUGGGCAAUGGGCGCAAGCCUGACCCAGCAACGCCGCGUGCAGGAAGAAGGCUUUCGGGUUGUAAACUUCUUUUCUGAGGGACGAAGAACGUGACGGUACCUCAGGAAUAAGCCACGGCUAACUACGUGCCAGCAGCCGCGGUAAUAAGUAGGUGGCAAGCGUUAUCCGGAUUUAUUGGGUGUAAAGGGCGUGUAGGAGGGAAAGCAAGGCAGAUGUGAAAACUCAGGGGUCAACCCUGAGCCUGCAUUUGAAACGGUUUUUCUUGAGUGCUGGAGAGGCAAUCUGAAUUCCGUGUGUAGCGGUGAAAUGCGUAGAUAUACGGAGGAACACCAGUGGCGAAGGCGGAUUGCUGGACAGUAACUGACGCUGAGGCGCGAAAGCGUGGGGAGCAAACAGGAUUAGAUACCCCGGUAGUC